CUAACACAUACUGAGCACAGACACCAUCCAGCACACUGCUAAACACCGCUAAACACCUUACAUGCAUCGUCUCAUUUCAACAGCUCACCUCAUCUGCUCCUGAAGGGAAAAAGUGAUUAUGGGAAGAAAGAAUCCAAUUCCUCAGAAGGGUGCUGGGAGAAGACCCCCCUUCCAGGCUCUGCUCAGCUGCCCUCGCAAUAUAACCAGAGCGAUAUCACUCCUGUUUUUUGAAGAAGCUAAAAGGCUACUGGUUCAUCACUGGACUCCCUGGCAGAUGCCGAAAGGGUACACUUUAUAUAGCUUUUUAUUGGAAAAGAAAA